GCACGUCUGUGCUUGCACAGAAGUAUCCCACGUCGGUGCAAAAUGGGCCCGUGGAUUCCUCCAUCCCUCCUGGGUAUUUCAAUUAAAAGCCGAGAAGGAAGUCCAAGAAAAUGCCUAAAAUGGCUUGAGUCCUUCCUCACGAUCUGGAAAUGGAAGUCUGCGGUGACUAACUCCAGCCCAGCCACCAAACCCCUCCCUCCCCGACUCUGCAUUGCUCUGCUCAUUCCCAGCUCCUCUCCCGCGUUUGCAAACAGUCGGCAGUGGAAACGGUGAAGCAGCCUGGCUUCGAGCGCCAGCUCCACACGAGCGGUAUGCGACUGCAGCCCAUGCCGGUGCCUAACCUAGGAAGAAGUGGUUAAAAUCUGACGAGGGCAAGGCUUGAUUAUAAGCAAAGGAAUGACUUUAAAAGAGGCUGCCGCCACGCCUGCAAACAAAGCCCGAUUAAAUCCUUCCAUGGACUUAAACUGGCUUCAAAACAGGCCUCUAACAGCUUCUCCAGUUUAAAUAAAAAUUAAAAUGCUUGUUUGUAAUUUCUAAGCCAGUUCAGAUGAUGCCUUCUGAUUUUCUUACAAAGCUAACAGCAAUAUCCGUAAAGAACAAAAUUAGCUAACUGAAAGCUGCAUCCCUUACCCACUCAGAGCUGGUAAUAUGAGCUUAUGUGAGCUUUUUUUUCUUUUUCUUUUUCUUUUUUUUCCCUGCUCAUUCUGUUGUGGUUAUGCAUUUGACCUGAAUUUGAAGGCAUCAGUCCUGAAAGAAGAGUUGCCUGGGCACUGGGAGCUCAUGCUCUGAUAGUGGGUUACUCCAUGGGCAUCAGCCCAGUGCCUUCUCUGUUCACUCACAUCAUUUGACAAGCAUGAAGUCUCAGCUCUUCUGCUCAAAUUUUAACCAUCUAGGUGUAAAUACUGAGUGAUUUUGUGUGAUUUCAACUGUUCAUUUCCUUCUACCACCCAUCCACCUCACGUAAAAGUCCAUCGAGACUUGUUUUUGUGUGUUACCUAUCCCACAGGAGUGUGUGAUCUCUCCUGGUAUCCAAGAACAGUGACAAUGCAAAAAAAAAACCCAAUAGAAUGGGAUGCUUGUCUCCCCAUUACUGUAUUAUUCAAAAUCUUACAGUUCAAAAUCUUACCUUCUCUUUCAGUUUAAUUCAGUCACAACUUUUUCCCUAAGGACUCAAAAGAGUCAGAGCUUUCUGUGCUCAUGACUGAAGGCUAAGGGAGGAUAAAUAAUCCACUGUGGGGUCCAGGAUGCCUUGUUCACUCCUCUUUGGUUGUGAACCACGGAGAAAGAUAUCCUUGAAAUGUUUGACUGCUUCUGAGACAAAGCCCUCCUUGCCCUUCAUUCAGCAAUAUGGGAAUCUUUGGGAGACCAAACAUGGCUGGAGAUGAGUUUAUUCACAGGGUGUAUGAGGUCUUGGCUGGAGAGAUGCAGAGCUGAGCUGCUGGCAUAUGCCCUACCCAAAUUUACUCCUGCCCUCAGUAUUCCUCCAAGGGGAUUUUUCCCACAAGCACACCUGGUCACCCAUUCAUACCAAUAGAAAACCAAGAAGAGAUGGAAUCGAUUCAUUAAAACAAAGCAGGACAUUGCAUGAGAAUGGGCCACAGCCUGUCUGGAGCUGAG